rnacentral:misc_RNA from 1 species
GAUGGUGAUUGUUUGCAGUGCAGAAAAUAAUGUUCACGUGGGAACCUCAUUAUUACUUAAUAACAGUAUCUCUAGUGCUACUCCAAGGGUCAUCAACGGAGGAAUAUGACAAAAAAGACAAAAACAAACAGAUGACAAAUCAACAGGUGGGAGAAUCUUGUACGCACAAACAUGAACUUGAGUACUGCAGCAUUUAUAUGUUAAAUCUAG